GAGAGGGAGAGAGAGAGAGAGACAGAGAGAGGGAGAGAGAGAGGGAGAGAAAAAGAGAGAGGGGGGGGUUGAGAACAAAAUAAAGAAUGUGACAGAGUGGUUUUCAUUUUCUCAGAGAGAGUGUGAGAGUUAGACUAGCCUGCCAAGUUACAGGUUCAACUCUGUGGCUCCUCAGGCCUGAAGCUCAGCCAGUCCAUCAGCCAAGUUACAGGUUCAACUCUGUGGAUCCUCAGGCCUGAAGCUCAGCCAGUCCAUCAGCCAAGUUACAGGUUCAACUCUGUGGAUCCUCAGGCCUGAAGCUCAGCCAGUCCAUCAGCCAAGUUACAGGUUCAACUCUGUGGCUCCUCAGGCCUGAAGCUCAGCCAGUCCAUCACACCCUACCGUAUAAUGUGACAAUCUUCAUUCAUUAUAAUACUGACCGUGUUCUCAUUGGACAGCUGUAGCCCUCUCACCUAGCCAUUACCACCCCAGUCGGCCAUGGAAAACGAAAUUAUUUAUAAUCAAUGCGUUCCAUUAUUAAGGUGAACAUGUCAAACCGAUGUGAAUGUGUUGGUUU
ensembl:lncRNA